rnacentral:rRNA from 1 species
AGCGAACGCUGGCGGCAGGCUUAACACAUGCAAGUCGAGCGGGCACCUUCGGGUGUCAGCGGCAGACGGGUGAGUAACCCGUGGGAACGUACCCUUCGGUUCGGAAUAACGCUGGGAAACUAGCGCUAAUACCGGAUACGCCCUUAUGGGGAAAGGUUUACUGCCGAAGGAUCGGGCCGCGUCUGAUUGGCUAGUUGGUGGGGUAACGGCCUACCAAGGCGACGAUCAGUAGCUGGUCUGAGCGGAUGAUCAACCACACUGGGACUGAGACACGGCCCAGACUCCUACGGGAGGCAGCAGUGGGGAAUAUUGGACGAGGGGGGCAAGCCUGAUCCAGCCAUGCCGCGUGAGUGAUGAAGGCGUUAGGGUUGUAAAGCUCUUUUGUCCGGGACGAUAAUGACGGUACCGGAAGAAUAAGCCCCGGCUAACUUCGUG